CCACAUUUACCCUGUGACCAAGUCAUCAGCCUUAUGAUCCUCAGCAACCUUGUGAAGCAGAAGCUGUAUGCAACACAGAUGCAGUUCCAAUCAAUUAUUGUGGAUUUCACUCACCUGGUGGAGACGUGCUGCCAAGCAGAGAAAAGUGAAAAGUGUUUCCAAGAAGAGGGGUCUAAACUGAUGGAAAAGUGCCAGUCUCUCUUGGAAGGCUAAAUGAGUCCGGAAAAUGUCAAUAUACGAUCUU